AUCGAACGCUGGCGGCGGGCCUAACACAUGCAAGUCGAACGAGUGGCGGACGGGUGAGUAAUGUCUGGGGAAACGCCUGAUGGAGGGGGAUAACUACUGGAAACGGUAGCUAAUACCGCAUACCAUCAGCUGUGCCCAGAUGGGAUUAGGUUGUUGGUGGGGUAACGGCUCACCGAGGCGAAGAUCCCUAGCUGGGCUGAGAGGAUGACCGGCCAGACUGGAACGGAGACACGGUCCAGACUCCUACGGGAGGCAGCAGGGGGGAAUAUUGCACAAUGGGCGCAAGCCUGAUGCAGCAAUGCCGCGUGGAUGAAGAAGGUCUUCGGGUUGUAAAGUACUGUCAGCGGGGAGGCGUUAACCGCAGAAGAAGCACCGGCUAACUCCGUGCCAGCAGCCGCGGUAAUUC
rnacentral:rRNA from 1 species